rnacentral:rRNA from 1 species
AGUGAACGCUGGCGGUAUGCCUAACACAUGCAAGUCGAACGGCAGCACAGGAGAGCUUGCUCUCUAGGUGGCGAGUGGCGGACGGGUGAGGAAUACAUCGGAAUCUGCCCAGUCGUGGGGGAUAACUUAGGGAAACUUACGCUAAUACCGCAUACGACCUUCGGGUGAAAGAGGGGGAUCGCAAGACCUCUCUCGAUUGGAUGAGCCGGUGUCGGAUUAGCUAGUUUGCGGGGUUAUGGCCCACCAAGGCGACGAUCCGUAGCUGGUCUGAGAGGAUGAUCAGCCACACUGGAACUGGGACACGGUCCAGACUCCUAAGGGAGGCAGCAGGGGGGAAUAUUGGACAAUGGGCGCAAGCAUGAUCCAGCGAUACCGCGUGGGUGAAGAAGGCGUUCGGGUUGUAAAGACCGUUUGUUGGGAAAGAAAUCUUUCAGGCUAAUACCCUGGGAGGAUGACGGUACCCAAAGAAUAAGCACCGGCUAACUUCGUG